AGUUAAGUGAAGAAGGGCGCACGGUGGAUGCCUUGGCACUAGGAGCCGAAGAAGGACGGGACAAACACCGAUAUGUCUCGGGGAGCCGUAAGUAGGCAUCGAUCCGGGAAUUUCCGAAUGGGGAAACCCACUGCUCGUAAUGGAGUAGUAUCCUUACCUGAAUUCAUAGGGUAAGGGAGGCAGACCCGGGGAACUGAAACAUCUCAGUACCCGGAGGAAGAGAAAGCAAAUGCGAUUUCCCAAGUAGCGGCGAGCGAAACGGAAACAGCCCAAACCAGAAAGCUUGCUUUCUGGGGUUGUAGGACACUCCAAUGGAGUUACAAAGAAACCAUGUAGAUGAAUUGAUCUGGAACGAUCAGCCAAAGAAGGUAAGAGCCCUGUAAUCGAAAGAUGGUUUCCUCCGGAGUGGAUCCUGAGUACGGCGGAACACGUGAAAUUCCGUCGGAAUCCGGGAGGACCAUCUCCCAAGGCUAAAUACUUCCUAGUGACCGAUAGUGAACCAGUACCGUGAGGGAAAGGUGAAAAGCACCCCGGAAGGGGAGUGAAAGAGAUCCUGAAACCGUGUGCCUACAAGUAGUCGAAGCCCGUUAAUGGGUAACGGCGUACCUUUUGUAGAAUGGACCGGCGAGUUACGAUCUCCUGCAAGGUUAAGUUGUAUAGACGGAGCCGCAGCGAAAGCGAGUCUUAAAUAGGGCGAAGUAGUAGGGGGUCGUAGACCCGAAACCGUGUGAUCUACCCAUGUCCAGGGUGAAGGUCAGGUAACACUGACUGGAGGCCCGAACCCACGCGUGUUGAAAAACGCGGGGAUGAGGUGUGGGUAGGGGUGAAAUGCCAAUCGAACACGGAAAUAGCUGGUUCUCUCCGAAAUAGCUUUAGGGCUAGCCUCAAGCGAUGUGUACUGGAGGUAGAGCACUGAUUGAACUAGGGGCCCUCACCGGGUUACCGAAUUCAGUCAAACUCCGAAUGCCAGCUAUGCAAGCUUGGGAGUCAGACUAUGGGUGAUAAGGUUCAUAGUCGAAAGGGAAACAGCCCAGACCGCCAGCUAAGGUCCCAAAGUAUACGUUAAGUGGAAAAGGAUGUGGAGUUGCUUAGACAACCAGGAUGUUGGCUUAGAAGCAGCCAUCAUUUAAAGAGUGCGUAAUAGCUCACUGGUCGAGUGACUCCGCGCCGAAAAUAUACCGGGGCUAAACGUAUCACCGAAGCUGCGGAUUGUUCUUACGAACAAUGGUAGGAGAGCGUUCUAAGUGCUGUNNNNNNNNNNNNNNNNNNNNNNNNNNNNNNNNNNNNNNNNNNNNNNNNNNNNNNNNNNNNNNNNNNNNNNNNNNNNNNNNNNNNNNNNNNNNNNGAUUGGUGGAGCGCUUAGAAGUGAGAAUGCCGGUAUGAGUAGCGAAAUAGAAGUGAGAAUCUUCUACACCGAAUGCCUAAGGUUUCCUGAGGAAGGCUCGUCCGCUCAGGGUUAGUCGGGACCUAAGCCGAGGCCGAAAGGCGUAGGCGAUGGACAACAGGUGGAUAUUCCUGUACCACCUCAUGACCGUUUGAACGAUGGGGGGACGCAGUAGGAUAAGGAAAGCGCACAAUUGGAUGUGCGCCCAAGCAGUGAGUGAGUCAGAUAGGCAAAUCCGUCUGGCAAUCACAAGCUGUGAUGGGGAGGGAACAAAAGUACCGAAGUUCCUGAUUUCACACUGCCAAGAAAAGCCUCUAGUAAGGUCAUAGGUGCCCGUACCGCAAACCGACACAGGUAGGCGAGGAGAGAAUCCUAAGGUGAUCGGGAGAACUCUCGUUAAGGAACUCGGCAAAAUGACCCCGUAACUUCGGGAGAAGGGGUGCUUCUUUUGAACGAGAAGCCGCAGUGAAAAGGCCCAAGCGACUGUUUAGCAAAAACACAGGUCUCUGCGAAGCCGAAAGGCGAAGUAUAGGGGCUGACACCUGCCCGGUGCUGGAAGGUUAAGGGGAUGCGUUAGCCAUAUGGCGAAGCGUUGAACCGAAGCCCCAGUAAACGGCGGCCGUAACUAUAACGGUCCUAAGGUAGCGAAAUUCCUUGUCGGGUAAGUUCCGACCCGCACGAAAGGUGCAACGACUUGGGCACUGUCUCAACGAGAGACCCGGUGAAAUUAUACGAUGCGUGAAGAUGCGCAUUACCCGCGACAGGACGGAAAGACCCCGUGGAGCUUUACUGUAGCCUGAUAUUGCAUGUUGGUACAGCUUGUACAGGAUAGGUGGGAGCCUGAGACUCGUGAGCGCUAGCUUACGAUGAGGCGUCGGUGGGAUACCACCCUGGCUGUACGGACAUUCUAACCCAGAACCGUGAUCCGGUUCGGAGACAGUGUCAGGUGGGCAGUUUGACUGGGGCGGUCGCCUCCUAAAGAGUAACGGAGGCGCCCAAAGGUUCCCUCAGAAUGGUUGGAAAUCAUUCGCAGAGUGUAAAGGCAGAAGGGAGCUUGACUGCGAGACCUACAAGUCGAGCAGGGACGAAAGUCGGGCUUAGUGAUCCGGCGGUACCGAAUGGAAGGGCCGUCGCUCAACGGAUAAAAGCUACCCCGGGGAUAACAGGCUUAUCUCCCCCAAGAGUCCACAUCGACGGGGAGGUUUGGCACCUCGAUGUCGGCUCAUCGCAUCCUGGGGCUGUAGUCGGUCCCAAGGGUUGGGCUGUUCGCCCAUUAAAGCGGUACGCGAGCUGGGUUCAGAACGUCGUGAGACAGUUCGGUCCCUAUCCGUCGUGGGCG
rnacentral:rRNA from 1 species